rnacentral:rRNA from 1 species
AGAGUUUGAUCCUGGCUCAGGAUGAACGCUGGCGGCGUGCCUAACACAUGCAAGUCGAGCGAUUCUCUUCGGAGAAGAGCGGCGGACGGGUGAGUAACGCGUGGGUAACCUGCCUCAUACACAUGGAUAACAUACCGAAAGGUAUGCUAAUACAAGAUGAUAUAAGAGAUUCGCAUGGAUUUUUUAUCAAAGCUCCGGCGGUAUGAGAUGGACCCGCGUCUGAUUAGCUAGUUGGUAAGGUAACGGCUUACCAAGGCGACGAUCAGUAGCCGACCUGAGAGGGUGAUCGGCCACAUUGGAACUGAGACACGGUCCAAACUCCUACGGGAGGCAGCAGUGGGGAAUAUUGCACAAUGGGCGAAAGCCUGAUGCAGCAACGCCGCGUGAGCGAUGAAGGCCUUCGGGUCGUAAAGCUCUGUCCUCAAGGAAGAUAAUGACGGUACUUGAGGAGGAAGCCCCGGCUAACUACGUGCCAGCAGCCGCGGUAAUACGUAGGGGGCUAGCGUUAUCCGGAUUUACUGGGCGUAAAGGGUGCGUAGGUGGUUUCUUAAGUCAGGAGUGAAAGGCUACGGCUCAACCGUAGUAAGCUCUUGAAACUGGGAAACUUGAGUGCAGGAGAGGAAAGUGGAAUUCCUAGUGUAGCGGUGAAAUGCGUAGAUAUUAGGAGGAACACCAGUAGCGAAGGCGGCUUUCUGGACUGUAACUGACACUGAGGCACGAAAGCGUGGGGAGCAAACAGGAAUAGACUCCCUGGUAGUCCACGCUGUAAACGAUGAGUACUAGGUGUCGGGGGGUCCCCCCCUCCGGCCCCCCCCAACCCAUUAAACACUCCCCCCCGGGGAAUCCCCCUCCCAAGAAUAUAAAUCUCAAAAGGAAUUGACGCGCGACC